UAAAAAAAAUCAUUUCGUUCGCGAGUCAAGUGGAAACCUUGCCCUUAGCGUUAUUUAUUUACUUUUCAUCAUUAAAUUUUGCCUUCGCAUCAAUGAAGUGUUGUCGGAUAGUAUUAUAAAGUAAUUAUUUCCCAGCUAGUGGAAUAAAAACGUGCAAAUGUCGGAAGAAAUCAAUGAUAUCGCUAUGACGAGCACAGAAGCCGAUUCUUCACAAACACAGGGACAUGAUGCAACGUCAACCCCCACCGCAGACGAUACUGCCUCGAGCAGUGCAGCGACACCGGCCGGCAGCGAGGGCCAGGCGUCGCGCCAGUCCAACCUGCAGCGCAUCCAGCAGCGCAAGGAGCAGGUGUUCAACUGGCCGCACAACAAGAAGCUGCUCAAGCUUGCCAUUUAUUCGGCUUGUCAGACCCCAGAUUGUACCUGCAAUGGCUGGAAGACACCAGUCACACAGCAAACAGCUAAAACCAAUACCCGCGCAGACACCCAGCCUUUGGCUACUUUCAACGAUCCGUGCCGGAAUUGUAAUCACAUUUUAGAGAAACAUGUAACACAGCUGCAAACUUUGCCGGUGACAGAAGUGAACCGCUUGCUCGGUGCAGUGGUUGAUGUGGAGAAUAUAUUUAUGUCCAUGCACAGGGAAGACGAUCAUGACACUAAACGAGUUUAUUACUAUUUAUUUAAACUCCUCCGCAAAUGCAUUCUAACCCGCACCUCGCCUCGCAUCGAAGGGCCACUAGGGCAGCCUCCGUUCGAGAGACCCUCGAUAGCCAAGGCUAUCACCAACUUCGUACUGUACAAGUUCCACACGCUGCCACAGAGGGAGUGGCAGACCAUGUACGACUUGGCCAAAAUGUUCCUACACUGCUUCAAUCACUGGAAUUUUGAAGCACCUAGCGUUAGAAAAUUGCAAGUGUCAAAUCCUGAGGAUAUCUCGGCAUAUCAAAUUAAUUUUACAAGAUGGUUGGUGUUCUGCCACGUUCCCGCGUUCUGCGACUCGCUGCCGCACUACGAAACGUCGCUGGUAUUCGGUCGCACGCUGCUGCGCGCCGUGUUCAAGUCGGUGUGUAGACAGCUCAUGGACAAGUGCCAUUCGGAACGCGACCGCAUGCCGCCGGAGAAGCGAGUGCUGGUCUUGACGCACUUCCCUCGUUUCCUGGCGCUGCUCGAGGAGGAGAUCUUCAGCGCCAGCUCGCCCAUCUGGGACCCCGAGUUCAAGCAAAUGCCGCCCAACCACCACCUGCAGGCCAUCCUCGAGAACAAGACCACGGGCCGCCGCGGUGAGUUCGAGCGCGUCACGCCCAGCGGAGAGAGUAAGGACGGUUUCACCACCGUCUCGCUGUCCUCAGGUUCAAUAAAGCAAGAAGGCGUUCGCGAGGGCAAACGCGCCGCCGACGGGCGCGUCGGAGAGCCGCCCGGAGCCAAGCGGCGCCGCGUGGCCGACGAGGCGGGCGAUGACGUCAGCGAGCGCACAGUGGCCGACAUCGUGGCAACCAUAUCCGACCCCAACUACAUGUGCGGACCCGACGCACUGUUCCAGACGCAAGCGCCGCGCGACGAGGCGGCCAAGCUGGAGGAGCAGCGCAAGAUGAUCGAAUUCCACGUCAUCGGCAACUCGCUCACUGGCCCUGUCAACAAGCAGACCAUGCUCUGGCUCAUAGGUCUUCACAAUGUUUUUUCACACCAACUCCCAGAAAUGACCAAAGAAUACAUCUCGCAACUAGUUUUUGAUCCGAAACACAAAACUUUAGCGCUAAUAAAAGAAGGCAGACCCAUUGGCGGGAUUUGCUUCAGGACAUUUAAUUCCCAAGGUUUCAGUGAGAUAGUAUUUUGUGCGGUGACGUCAAACGAGCAGGUGAAAGGCUACGGGACCCACCUGAUGAACCAUCUCAAGGACUACCACAUCAGAAACAACAUUCUGCACUUCCUAACAUUCGCUGAUGAGUUCGCUAUAGGCUACUUCAAGAAGCAGGGCUUCAGCAAGGACAUCAAGCUGCCGCGCGCCAUGUACCAGGGCUACAUCAAAGACUACGAAGGCGCCACGCUCAUGCAUUGUGAACUAAAUCCAAAGAUCGUGUAUACCCACUUCACAGCCGUCAUACGCAAGCAAAAGGAGAUAGUCAAGAAAUUGAUUGACAUGCGGCAAAAAGAAGUAAGGAAAAUUCAUCCAGGACUCACCUGUUUCAAAGAUGGCGUGCGCUCGAUCCCCGUGGAGUGCGUCCCAGGCCUGCGGGAGACGGGCUGGCGCGCCGCGCCGCGCGCGCCCGAGCCAGAGCCUGACGCGGACUUAGCCGCACUGAGGGCCGUGCUGCACCAGGUCAAAAAUCAUGCGGCCGCGUGGCCCUUCCUGAAACCCGUCGACAAAGCAGAAGUCCCGGAUUAUUACGACCACAUCAAGUAUCCUAUGGACUUGCGCACGAUGGGCGAGCGGCUGAAGGCGCGCUACUACGCGUCCAAGCGACUUUUCAUCGCCGACAUGACGCGUAUCUUCACCAACUGCCGCCUCUACAACUCGCCCGACACCGACUACUACAGGUGCGCAAACACCCUAGAGAAGUACUUCCAAGGCAAGAUGAAGGAAGCUGGUCUGUGGGACAAAUGAUCCUACGACACGCGAGCCUCCACCCCUAGUGAGGCCAGCAGCUAUACAACUUAGCGACACAACACUACGGCACAGCAAAUAACAUGAAACUAAAUAGUUGGCUUACCGGCGAAUGCUGCGGCUACUCAGAAACGCUGUUCACGUAGUUUCUGGUCUGUCGUCGUCGCUCAUGUUUGCAUCUUACUUGAAAAGAGAGGGACGGCAACAUUCGAAACUUCGGAUAACGUUUUUCGUAGUAGGGUUUACUCUGGACCGUUAAGUGUGUGCCUAACGUCUUUAUGUGCCUGACAAUAAGGAACGUUUGUGUGUUUUUCUUAACUCAGCCGUGACAGAUUACAUAAACGUAUUUUUUUAGAACUGAAAUCUGUAGCGUUACAUUGUAUUAUUGUUUACUGACGGCCUUAGAUUAUUUAAUAACAAAAGUUACUAUGUAAGAUAGGUGUAUCUCACUAUAUUUAUUGUUUCCAUACAAAUCUUUUAUAUACUUCAGUAUAACUUUAUACACUUUAUAACUUUAUAUUUCUUUUCCUAUAGUCCGGGAAGUUGCGUAGACAACAAAAAUACCUAGGUAGUGUUACUAAGAUUACCAUGCGUUAUGCAUAUUAGUUAAAUUUUAUCAAGUAUUUACAAACUUUUUUAGAUUUAAGAAUGUCUGUGUUGUAUCGUUGUAAUGAGAAAUUGUGUACAAGACUGUAUUUAUGUUUGCUAGUUUUGCCCACUUAAACUUUGAAAUUCUUUAAUUAUAGUAAUCGCGUAUAAUAUGGUAUUGUAUUAUGUGAGAAUAUCAAUUUGUUUAUCUACACUGGUCAUCAUAAAAAUCGACCCACCCACGACAAGCACUUUCAAACGUAUGCAUCCCCACUUCCCACCAA